ensembl:lncRNA
AGCUGGCUGGCUGGUCGCUUCAGCUCAGAGGAGAAGCGUUGGACUGAGUGUGAUUGAGGCACAUAGCUAUAGAAAGAGAGAGGCGGGGGGAGAGAGAGAGAGAGAGAAACUGAAUUCCAGCGAAUUAAUCACCGUCUGUUCCCGUGUGAGAGAGAGGGAGAGUCAAAGGCAGUCAAACAGAGAGAGAGAGAGAGAGAGAGGAGGGGGAGUGGAGCCUGACGCAGUGUGAGAGGCAGAAACUGAGAGCGGAGAGAGACAGAGAACGAGGGAGACAGUGGCGAGGAGGCAGCGCAUCACAUCAGGCGCCGUUUUGCAUCCAAAAAAUCUUGACGCGGGUCAAUCGCCACAUUGGCUGCUGCUGCCGCCACCGCCGAGCCGCUUCCUGGUCACUGCUCUUCACAGAGACCGCAGGAGACAGAGCAAGCUGGGACAAAUCACUGACAGACAAAGACUAAAGAAAAAAACAAAAGAAGAACCACAGCCACACAUACUGCCAGAGGCAACGAGCGGAGACCUGCGAAGCCAAGCCGCGUCCUCCUCCACCACGCCGGCAUCUGGACCAGGCUGCAGUGCCGGAGCUUUCAUACCCGCAGCGCAGUCCGGCGGUCUGAGCGGUUCAGCACCCUGGACAGCGGCUGUCCAGUCCGGGCAGCAGGCGGUGAAAAACAACCAUGAGAACUCUUUUAUUAUCCCUUCUCUCUCUCAGAUGUGCCACUUUCA